rnacentral:lncRNA from 1 species
GAGGCACGUCGGAUUUCUCCAGCUUUGCCCCAUAUCCACCCUACAUGCCAUAUAUGCCCUAUCCUUCCUUCUAUCCACCAUAUCACAUGUAUCCACCCCCACCUGUUCAUCCAAGUCCAGUACAGCCUGAAUCCAGAGAAACAGUACCUCCACCACCACCACCUGAACCAGUAGCCCCGGUUGUUGAAGCACAACCCAGUUCUUCAGGGGGCAAUAAGGUGAAGAUGACGGAGUACUUAAAGUUGGAUGCUCCUAAAUUCAAUACGGGAGAUGAUCCCUUUGAGUAUCUCAGUGCAGU